UACGUAGGGGGCAAGCGUUGUUCGGAAUUACUGGGCGUAAAGGGCGCGUAGGCGGCACAGCAAGUCGGGAGUGAAAGCCCUCGGCUCAACCGAGGAAGUGCAUUCGAAACCGUCAGACUCGAGUCCCGGAGAGGAAGGUAGAAUUCUCGGUGUAGAGGUGAAAUUCGUAGAUAUCGAGAGGAACACCGGUGGCGAAGGCGGCCUUCUGGACGAGGACUGACGCUGAGAUGCGAAAGCGUGGGGAGCAAACAGG
rnacentral:rRNA from 1 species